rnacentral:misc_RNA from 1 species
GGGGGUUGAUACGAGUUAGAAUGAUAUUUUUUUCAUGCAAUCGUAUGAGAGGUCGAACAACAGGUUGAUGAUUGUCCGACAAUGCUGGAACAACCUCCGAUUGACUUUUAAUCACUUUUCCAUUCUCUAUAACCUGGUCAUUUUCAGCAUAUUGCUUUAGAAUUAUCUUGUCGUCUUGAUAUCGCUUAACCUCCGCCAGCAUGCCAUUAGCACGCUGUGG